AUUAUUAUCUCCAAACAUUAAAAAAAAGGAUCAUAAAUUUUACCUCCAAGAAGCCAUUAGUAUCAGUAGCCAAAGCUUGCAAAGCUAUUUGUGCUUCACUCAACUGAAGACCAGCCUUGCUGGCAUAUGAAAUUAAUAAUUUUUCACACAGAUCUGGGUAAAUUGCAUUUUGGAGAGAGUGAUUACCGAAUAAAAAAGUCAGAGGAAAAAGAAGAAUUAGUGAAGUUAGGAGUAAAAGCGUAAAUUCCUUUGUUGCCACCAUGGACAACAAAUGCAUUUGUUUUGCUCUCACCAUUGUAGUCAUGCAUUGAAGUUUCUAUAAAAUGGAGCAAACCUAACCAUAGUAGAAUUACUCCUGAAGCUCCAAGUGACUUCAACAACCGCAUUUAACCCUAUCAAAAAAUAAAAUUUUUUACAGAAUAGGGAUGUGAAUUUGCUUGGGAAGAUGUAAGAUGUUGAAG
rnacentral:lncRNA from 1 species